rnacentral:rRNA from 1 species
UACAGAGGUCCCGAGCGUUAGGCGGAAUCACUGGGCUUAAAGCGUGUGUAGGCGGAUGCCUAAGUACCUUGUGAAAUCCUACGGCUUAACCGUGGAACUGCUCGGUAUACUGGGUGUCUUGAGCCACUUAGGGGCUACCGGAACAAAUGGUGGAGCGGUGAAAUGCGUAGAUAUCAUUUGGAACGCCAAUGGUGAAAACAGGUAGCUGGGAGUGUGCUGACGCUGAGACACGAAAGCCAGGGGAGCAAACGGG